CUGGCCUCAAACUCAGAGAUCCACCUUCCUUUGCCUCACAAAUGCUGGGAUUAAAGACAUGCGCCACCACUGCCCAGCUCAUUUUUUCAAAAUGAUGAACAGGAAGGAAGUCAAGAGCAGGAUACAGUUCACUGUGCUUGCCUGACUAUGGACUGCAUUCCUCAGGCUUCCCUGAACUAACAAUAGUGUCUCCCAAAACUUGAGGUGAGAUGGCUCCGUGAAGGAAAAGCACUUGGCACCAAGCCUGAAUUAGACUCUUAGGACUCCCAUUGAGAAAGGAGAGAUAAAAGAUGCCAGCAAUUACAUAACAAAACAGAUGAGAACACUGAGACACUGACAGGACAAGUAAUACCAGCUCAUAUCUACUGAGUGUCAACACAGGCACCGAGUGUAUAAUAUAUGUAUAUAUUAACUCCUGUAACUUUCAUUCAAAAUAUAAAGGGUCUGGCAACGCAUGGUGUAGGCCUAUGAAUCUCAGCAUUCAGGAGGCUUACUGAAAAUCUGAGGUCAGCUUGAGUGAGCUACAGGCUGAGUUCCAGGCUACAGCCAGGACUACAGAACAAAAGGACCUCACUACCAACAGAAGAGAGCCACAGAGACUUAGAGG
rnacentral:lncRNA from 1 species